rnacentral:rRNA from 1 species
UACGUAGGGUGCAAGCGUUAAUCGGAAUUACUGGGCGUAAAGCGUGCGCAGGCGGUUAUGUAAGACAGAUGUGAAAUGCCCGGGCUUAACCUGGGAACUGCAUUUGUGACUGCAUGGCUAGAGUUUGGCAGAGGGGGGUAGAAUUCCACGUGUAGCAGUGAAAUGCGUAGAGAUGCGGAGGAACACCGAUGGCGAAGGCAGCCCCCUGGGCCAAUACUGACGCUCAGGCACGAAAGCGUGGGGAGCAAACAGG